GUCUUUUUUCAAUGUUCAUUUGUGGUGGUUCGCUGAGUCGAAGAAUUUCGCAGGCGUGUAUUCGGUCGCUUUAAAUAUUUUCUUAUAAUUUUCCCCAAAAAAUCUAAUUUACAAGCAAUUUCCGCAUCCACGUGAAACUAACGAAAAUAUUUUCCUUUGAUUUCAUAUGAAUACGGAUUAAAUAAAAAUAAAAAAAAGUGUUCAAAAGAGUCAAAUAGGAAAAGUGAAAAUUUGUACAGAGAGAAAGAAAAACUAUUUCGAAUAAUUUUUCCCCAUUUUCUAAUUGGAUAGAAUAGUUGAGCUAUAAGCCGAUCAGAGCGAGAUAGCAGCAUUAAUUUUGUGUUAAAUUUGCCGUACAUUAUUUUCAUUCGUUUUCUCAAAAAGUGACGUCGAGUAAAGAGAGUUCUUUUGAUUGAUCUUCUAUCUCAUUUGCUCUUUCAUAUUUAAGUUAUACAUUUAUUUAAGUGCAUUUGAUGUGUCAAAAGUGAAAAUUUUUUCACACGCAGUGAAAAUUCCAAAACGGUCGAGACCGAAAUAUGAUUUGUUGCCGAAGCCAUUGUGCAACGCGAAGAAAAAAUAUAAUUUAGUUUUUAGGUUUUUAAAAAAACUUGGACACAAAGGGAAGAACUUUGUGAAAACUUUAAAACACAUAUAAUCGUCACAUCACAUGCCUGGAGUGGAGAGACUGCAGUUCGAGAAGUACCUAGUAAUCAUAUAAUUUAAUUAGGUAUUCUCGUCGUUCAAAAGGAAGGCAAACGUACACAAAACAACGAAAAUAAAAUAAAAUACAACAACAAAAAAUAAAGUCAUUCUCAUUUCGCGACUACUUACCUGUGCUUUUGUUUGCCCCCGCAGUUCGUUCACCAUCGCAUCAAUCAUUUUACUUGGAAACGUAUGUAUAUACAGCAAGUUUUUCGUUCCGCAAAUCAAAUAAAUAUCAGAUUACAUGAAUUCAAAAAAGAAACGGAAAUUCUGCCAUCCCCGCCUAAUCAAAAUCGAUCAGCUUUAUCGACACACUGAUUAGCAGCAGGAAUCCCUAUUGGUUUUCCGAAUCGAAUACUAGAGAGCAAUUACGUCAUUUAUGGGGUCAGCAAGAGACUUCUACCUCAUAAGCUGAUUACCAACCAACCUACACAAUAAACAAAAAAAAAAAACAAAAUACAAUAUAGAAUUGAACCGAAACAAAACGACUGAUUUUUAUAAAUAAAUUUAUUAAGUGCAUUAUAUACUUUUUGUAUAUAUAAAUAAAACAAUUUAUUUACUAGUAAAUGGCAUAUCAAUUGUGAUACUUUGAGGAGUGUAUAAAAUAAAAUAAAAAACAAAAAAAAACAACUGAUGAGUCCAUGACAAAUUAGCUGCUUCUUCGCAAAAUGUAGCUAUUUAAUUGGACAUUGGUUAUUUUUUAUUUUUUAAAUUACAAAGAGGCAUUACGCAUACAGUUGUGUCCAAGAGAAGGGAAAACUUGACCUUCCAAGUAAUAUAAUAACCAGCAAGAAGGGGUUAAAGACAACAUCAAAAUGUCUUUUAUAAAUAAUCUGAAGAAGGUUUUCCACAUCGGAGGUGGAGAAGCCAAAAAGAAACGUCUCUACAACAAUAUCAAAAUGGACACAGAUAUUGCUGAUUUUUGGGAGAUGGUUGGGGAGUUAGGUGAUGGUGCAUUUGGAAAAGUUUAUAAAGCUCAGCAUAAGGAGACAAGACGAUAUGCUGCAGCUAAAAUGUGUACAUUAGAGGACGAGGAGAACCUCAGUGAUCAUAUGGUAGAGAUUGAUAUUCUGUCGGAAAUUAAGCAUCCGAAUAUAGUCGAAUUGUAUGAAGCAUUCUCCCUAGAUGAUAAAUUAUGGAUGUUAAUUGAGUACUGUGAUGGCGGUGCCUUAGAUAGUAUUAUGGUAGAGUUGGAAAAACCUUUAACCGAACCUCAAAUAGCCUAUGUAUGCAAACAUAUGACUGAAGGCUUGAAUUUUCUACACAAAAAUAGAGUAAUUCAUCGAGACUUGAAGGCUGGUAAUGUUCUAUUGACCAUGGAAGGCGGUGUCAAAUUGGCUGAUUUCGGGGUGUCAGCCAAAAAUAAACACACGCUCCAGAAGCAUGACACAUUCAUGGGAACACCAUACUGGAUGGCUCCCGAAUUAGUUCUAUGCGAAACUUUUCGGGAUAAUCCAUACGAUUUUAAAGUUGAUAUUUGGUCGCUUGGCAUUACUCUGAUUGAAUUGGCACAGAUGGAUCCGCCAAAUAGUGAGAUGUCGCCAAUGCGUGUGCUUUUGAAAAUUCAAAAAAGUGAACCUCCACGAUUGGAUCAGCCAUCCAAAUAUACAAAAGAAUUUAAUGACUUUUUGAGUAAAUCCUUAGUGAAGGAUCCUCUGUUACGGGCGUCAACUGAUAACCUAAUGACGCAUCCUUUUAUAAACCGGGUUCUUGAUGGUAAGCCGAUAAAAGAUCUACUUCUGGAAUACAAAGCUGAAGUCGUUGAAGAAGAAGUUGUUGACGAAGAAGCUGAGGAACCCCGCAACUCUGCGCACCCACUCGACCUGGACGAUGACUCUUCAUCGCAACAGAGUCAAGAAAUCGAUAAACGUAAGAUUCCAGGCACUCCAACAUCUGUGUCACAAACAUCGAGGGAUUCAAAAGAAUCUUCACCCGCGAUCCCGACUACUCCUACUGUAUCAACAACAACGACACCACCACCACCUACAACACCAACGCCACAAACAGUUCCAGCACAAAUUGCACCAGCAGCAGCAGCAUCGGCAGCUGGUAAAGCGGAAAACAAUGUUAAGUCUCAAGUUAAAACAUCAUCACCCCCGCCACCACCAUCUGCAAUUGUGCAAGAUAAGAUUCCGCCACCACCAGCGGUUGUGCAAAAACAAAUAAGUCCUCCUCCUCCAGCACCGUCACAAAAAUCAACACAACCAUCUGCAGCUAGAGCAGAUACGAAGGCGACUGCACCAGUACCACCAACUUCUACAAGUGAAAUUACACCCGAAAAUGAAAGGAAAAAGGUUGAUAAUACUGAUGGAGAAAAGAAGGUUAUCAAAAAGGAGAAAGGCAAAGCGCCACCACCACCACCAUUGAUGAUUAUAUCGCAACAACAAAAGAAAGUCAUUGAAUCGCCAGAAGUUAAAGAAAACGCAGAUGCAUCUGCUGCUCUUUUGAAGGAUAUCAUAAAACCUCCACCCGAAUUUGAAGAGGAUAUUAGCAUCACACCGGUUAACAAUAAUAUAACUGACGAAGAGACAUCAAACAAAGAAGACCCCAUAACGGUCGAGUUCAAAACAAGUCCAAAUGAAGAGAAACAGGUCAUACCGAUAAGCAGAAGUAAUUCUUGUGAUGAUCAGCUAAAACCACCAUCUCCAACAUCAUCUUCAUCCAUAUCAGUUACUUCUACUCCGUCAAAGAUUGUUUCGAUGGGAACAGCUACAACAACUUCUUCAAAUACAUCGCUUAUCACUAUAAAUAGCGGCAGCGGUGAGGAAGAUAAUAAGAGCAUCUUGCCUAACAGUCUUGCGUCGAACGUGAGUCAAAUAACUGUCGUAACAAGCACGCAUCCACCCGUGAUCAUUGAUAAUAAUGCACAGAGAGUAGAUACACCUACAAAGUCAAAUAGCAGUAGCAGUAGCGAAGUUGUAAUUGUAUCUAACGAACUGAAUAAGACACAUGUAAAUGAAUCGUCAACAGACGAUGAUUAUCCGUCUCUGGACAGUAUAGAGCAUUCGCCACGUAAACAAUCUAGCAUGAUUGUUAUCAACGAAGACGAGGCAAUGGGCAAUGCACCGAAAUCCGCAGCUGUACCUACAAACGCUCGAAAAUUGGAUGAGAGCGAAGUACUGAUCGUAAGCCCAAGUUUCGUAGACGAAGACUCUGCCUAUAACACAGCCUCAGUCGGAGGGGUGGAUAACCAUCUGUUAGACACUAGUCACGUAUCUGUGGUUACAGUUGGUGAAGAGAUAAAAGUCAAAGACAGCAGCCACAUUCGUACUGCUGAGUCAAGUAGUGAUCUAUCGUCAGUGGGAGGCCCGAGUGAAUGUAGUGAUGACACACGUAGCAGUAGCGAACAUAUUCUAGCCAAACCGGCCAGCAAAAUGAACGGCGGACAGCUGGUGAAAACAACGUCUGUGUCUGCGUCUCGUGAAGAUGUCAGUAUCAUUGUGAAUCACAAAAAAACGUUGCCAGAGAAGCGCAUCUCCCCAGACAGCAGUGUAGGCUCAAUGGAAUCACGAACACAUAGCGAAUGCGGAUCGGUUAGGUCUAGUGGCGGAACACCCAUCCGCGGUGUUAUCAAAAUCGAUCGCAGUGAUGCUGAGAGUAUUGCCACCACUACUAGUCAUGAUAGUCGAGAGCAGGAAGAGGAUGUUAUCAUCCGUCGGAAGCCCUCACCUCCAAAGGUGGAGCCGACCAAAGAAGAAAUCGAACUGCGCAAUCUCCGCAAAAAGACCCGCAAACGUACCAGGAAAUUCGAAAUUGACGGUGUGCAAGUGACCACAACCACGAGCAGAGUAAUCUAUGGAGACGAUGAAACUGGACGAUUGUAUGAUGACCAUGUGUUCAGGAAACAGGAGUUGCGAGAGCUGAAAAUGCUCCAGAAGCAAGAAAAGAAACAACAAAAUGACUUGCAGUUGAAAGAACAAAUGGCCAAAGAACAACAAGAUCGCCGUUUCGAACAGGAGCGUAUAACUUUGGAGAAGACAUACGAAAGUGAUAUGGACUCUCUGGCAAGGCAGCAAAAGCAAUUGAUUGAGAAAACUGAACAGAAUCAAGAAGCCGAGUUGCGGUCAUCUUCGAAACGCAUUCGCUCUGAACAAGAACAGGAAUUGAAAAUCUUCCGAGAAAACCUUAAGCAAGAGAUUCGUUUGCUAAAGCAAGAAAUUGACUUGUUACCCAAGGAAAAGCGAAAGGACGAGUUCAAGAAGCGACGAGCAGCCAUGGAACUGGAUCACGAAGAAAAAGAACGUCAAUUUUUGGACUCCCUAAAAGAACGUCAUGAAUUGUUGUUGCGACGAAUCAGUGAGAAGCAUCGUGAUCGUUUGGCCACAAUCGAUCGUAAUUUCUUACAACAAAAACAAAAUGCUAUGCGCACUCGGGAGGCUCUGAUCUGGGAACUAGAGGAAAAACAUUUGCACGAGAGACAUCAAUUGUCAAAACGUCAUGUCAAAGAUAUGUGCUUCAUGCAGAGGCAUCAAAUGAUUAUUCGGCAUGAAAAAGAAUUGGAUCAAGUUAAACGAAUGUUGCAACGCAAGGAGGAGGAUCUGCUGAAGAAGCAGUCAGUUGAGAAACGAGCUUUGCCAAAGCGUAUUCGUGCCGAACGAAAAGCCAGAGAUCUUAUGUUUAGAGAAUCAUUGAGGAUAUCAACGAAUUUAGAUCCUGAAGUGGAAAGAGAAAGAUUGAAAAAAUUCCAAGAACAAGAAAAACGACGCUAUAAUCAAGAAGAGAAGCGUUUUGAAAUCAAACACCAAAAACAACUGGAAGAAUUAAGAGCUACCCGUGAAGGAGCCAUUAGGGAACUGGAGCAAUUGCAAAACGAGAAACGCAAGGCACUAGUCGAGCACGAGACUCACAAGUUAAAGGAGAUCGAUGAGCGGCUCCAAAGGGAGUUGCGCGACUGGAAGGAACAACUGGUUCCACGCAAACAGAAACUAGUGGCCAAACUAGAACAUAUGGUGGAUAUGUAUGAGCAAAAGCAUGGACCGGUUCCAGAAAGAUCAAUAUUCGAUGGCGAAAUAGAAGUGCCAGUGCAUUUACGAAAGAAAAGUUUGUCUUUAUCGCGUGGAGGAUUCUUGGGAAGUCUUACACGAUCCAGGACAUUCCUGAGUAUGUCCACUGACUUUUCAAAUGGAGGUUUUCGAGGCUCGGCGCCAGACUUGAGUCGCAGCAUGCCAAACACGCCUGUGACGGGCACAAAACAACCAACCAAUCAUCGCGUGCUAAUGCCAACAUUGUCAGUGGAUUCUGUAAUUGAAGAAUCCUCCUCACCACAACACAGCAUUUCUUCGUCAGUCAGUGGGAAUGUGAGUAAAAUUUACAUAAGAGAUCCGUACUCCAACACUUCCAAGGGAUCAAAGGUUGAGAUGCGGCGAAAGCAAGAGGAACUGCUGCCGCGUCUGUCGUCGACGCUUCCACAUAAAAAAUAUACCCACAAUAACAAUGAUUCCGACAUCACGAGAGUAACAUUAGGGGGUAAUUCUGCUAGCAGGAGUUCAAUUGAAGAAACUCCAACUUUGACAACAUUCCGUCCAGCAUCCGUUGAACCAAUAAUUGUUGUGGAUCGUUUUAAGAAACAAACUAACAAUAUAUUGCCACCAAAAGUCAAAGAAAAUAUUCUACAUUCAUCGUCUUCAUUUGCCAUCAAACGACCAUCCAUAGUUUCACCGAGAUCUUCAAUAGCAUCCGCCCAAUCGAUGCACAACAUUUACGAAGCAUCAACAUCACCAACAUCGCUUGCCUCCACGUUGAAAUCAAAUUGGGGACCAAUGCGUGGAUCGAACAGUUUUGCCGAUGGCGUUAGUUUAUCCUCACUCUCAACUUAUACAAUCCCAAGAGUGUCACUAGCAAAUAGCAGCCAAAGAAUAACAAUCAAUGGGAAGAAGCCCAAAGAACUAAAUGGAGAUUAUGCUGACUAAAUCAACUUUAAAUUUCCGUCUCCACAUCCUCUAUAUCCUUUUCGCAUUACAUUUCUUCUUCUUUCUACUAAGUGCCACUGUCACAAAAAUAAAACAUUUCAAACUCUUUUCUAUUUUUCAAUGCUGUACUUUUAUGUGUUUAUGCUUCUAUAUUUUUCUUUCUUUCUAUUCAUAUCGUUUUGUGUCAUGUCUACGUCUAUGUUGUUUUUUUUUUUCAACAAUUCAAAGUGCCAGGAUUCUUGUGCCCAUGGUGCAGAGAAACAAAAACACGAUGCUUUAAUAAAAUAAACCAAAAAUAAAAUAGUAAAAUAAUCGAAGAUGCCAAAACAUUAGUUAAAACAUACAAUAAAAUAAAAGAAAAGGAAUUCUAGCAAGUAGUCUUAUAUAUUAACUCAAUUUAAUUAAUCACAUUUAAGAAGUAGCCGAAUUUAUAAUUUGUACAUACUAUUAUUAUUAUUAACCUUAUUGCAAACAAACAAACAUUAAAUGUAUUCUUAACUUAAAUCAUUCCAUAACAUUAAACAAAAUACAUCACAAUUUUAUUUGUUCAAUUUUAUUUAAACAUAUUGCACUCACAUGCAAAUCUAAAGCUUGCUCCACCAUUUAGUGGUUUGAUUUUCAUUUAUCAUUAUGAAUCCCUAUUUCCUCAAUGAAAUCGAUCCUCUCCUAUUGAUUCCUUAAUAUUUAACAAAUAAAAAACUAAUGAUAACGGACUGCUGAAUUGCUACCCUAUGUUGCUGCGGCAAAUAAUUAAAAAUUAAAAAAAAGAACAAUUUAAAUUUAAAUUCGAAAAUUAAUAAAAAAAAAAUAAAAAGCUACUGCUACUGAUGGUGGAUGGGAACGUAUGCUCGAACGUUUGCGUGAAAGCGUUUGGAGGAGACAUUUUCUCAACAACUGGAUGAAAUGGAAUCACUAUAUGGCGGCGCGCUAAUAGUUCCUAUUCCUUCAGACACCUUACAGCGUGACUUUACUGGAUCAACACGUAGCAGUCUAUCAUCCUAUUC